rfam:Halorhabdus tiamatea SARL4B complete genome
CUGAUGGGCGCGUCCGGGUCAAUUGCGGUAUGCAACACCCGAUCUCCCUCGCCGUUCCGGGCGACCGGACGAUACGUGAGGGGGAACGCGUCACCGUCAG